rnacentral:rRNA from 1 species
UACGAAGGUGGCUAGCGUUGUUCGGAAUUACUGGGCGUAAAGCGUGCGCAGGCGGUUUCUCAAGUCAGGGGUGAAAGCCCGGAGCUCAACUCCGGAAUUGCCUUUGAAACUGUGAAGCUCGAGGGCGGGAGAGGUGAGUGGAAUUCCCAGUGUAGAGGUGAAAUUCGUAGAUAUUGGGAAGAACACAGGUGGCGAAGGCGGCUCACUGGCCCGUUUCUGACGCUCAUGCACGACAGCGUGGGGAUCAAACAGG